rnacentral:rRNA from 1 species
GAUGAACGCUAGCGGCAGGCCUAACACAUGCAAGUCGAGGGAGAGGUUACCUUCGGGUAACCAAAACCGGCGCACGGGUGCGUAACGCGUAUACAAUCUGCCUUUCACAUAGGGAUAGCCCGAAGAAAUUUGGAUUAAUACCUAAUGGUAUAUAAGAGCGGCAUCGUUUUUAUAUUAAAGCUACGGUGGUGAAAGAUGAGUAUGCGUUCUAUUAGCUAGUUGGAGAGGUAACGGCUCCCCAAGGCGACGAUAGAUAGGGGUUCUGAGAGGGAUGUCCCCCACACUGUUACUGAGAUACGUACCUUACUCCUAUUGG